UGUUUUUUUUUUUUUUCUUUGGGGACCCGUAAUUAACUUGAGUUUGAACUUCUCCGGGUUCAACUUUAGUCAAGUAAAUUAGGUAUUAUUAGUUACGUUAAUGUGUUACGUUAACUCUUUCAAAUAUUGUUGAUUUUUUUUUUUGAAUUUUUGAGUAAUAAGUAUGACUGUUUUGUAUUGUAUUGUUUUGCGAGGACUAAUGCUAUUGGAUGUUGGUAUUUAACAUGAUCAAGUCUCAAGUUACUUAGGUAUUAUUAUAAUGCCUUAUGUUUGUAAUUUAUCUUUUUUGAAAUUUAUACUGAUUUUAAAAUUUGAAGUAUGAGUAGUGACUAGUUUGCAUUUGUUUUUGUUUUGCAGGACUUAUGCUAGGCUAAAGGACUCGAUUGGAUGUCCCUUUCGUUAUUGCGAUGCUUAUGCUCAGUACUUUCAAAUACAUAUUUCCCGACCACCUGUAAUAUUGAGUUACGUACAUUUGCUUUAAAUGUUGUAUUGUAUCUUGGGACCGUAUUAACUUGAGUUUGAGUUUCCCGGGUUCAACUUUAAGCUCAAGUAAUACGUUGUAGUUAACGCCUUUAUUUUGUACUUUAUCUCUUUGAAAGAAUGUUUGAUUGAAUUUUUUGAGUACUAAGUAGUGACUGUUUUGUAUUUUGUCUUGUUUUGGCGAGACUAAUACUUUUGACUUGGUGUUUAACAGAUCAAGCUCAAGUACUUAGGUACUAUUAGUUAUGCCUUAUGUUGUAAUUUGUCUUUUUGAAAUUAUACUGAUUUAAAUUUUAAGUAAUGAGUAGUGACUAUUUUGCAUUUGUUUUGUUUUUCGAGGACUUAUACUAUUGACUAAAGGACUCGAUUGGAUGUACCUCGUUAAUUGCGAUGCCUAUGCCUAGGUACUUUCAAAUACAUAUUUCCACACUUUUACUAUUGAGGUACUAACAUUUGUUUUAAAUGUGUAUAUGUUCUUGGACGUAACAAAAUUAACUUGAGUUUGAUGUUCCCCGGGUUUCAACUUAAGCUCAAGUAAAUCGGUUUAUUGUUUAACGCUUUAUGUGUUACUUUAUCUCUUUCAAAUAUUGUUGAAUUUUGAAUUUUUGAGUAAUAGUAGCGACUGUUUGUAUUUGUAUUGUUUUGUGAGGACUUCUGGUAUUGACCAAAGGACUCGAUUGGAUGUACCUCGUUAAUUGCGAUGCCUAUGCCUUGGUACGUAAGAUUUGCUUUAAAUGUUGUAUAUGUAUCUUGGACCGUAAUUAACUUGAGUUUGAUGUUUCCCGGGUUCAACUUUAAGCUCAAGUAAAUUAGGUAUUAUUAGUUAAUGCUUUAUGUGUUACUUUAUCUCUUUCAAAUAUUGUUGAUUUGAUUUUUGAGAUAAGUAGUGACUGUUUUUGUUUUGUAUUGUUUUGGCGAGUACUAUGCUAUGACUUUGGUGUUACAUGAUCAAGCUCAAGUUAUUAGGUAUUAUUGUUAAUGCCAUUAUGUUGUAAUUUGUUCUUUUGUUAACUGAUUUAAUUUUAAGUAUGAGUAUUGACUAUUUUCUUUGUUUUGUUUUGGCGAGACUUAUGCUAUGACUAAAGACUCGAUUGAUUAACCUCGUUCAAUUUGCGAUGCCUCUGCCUAGUACUUUUCAAAUACAUAUUUCCACCUUUUAAAUAUUGGGUACGUAACAUUUACUUUAAAUGUUGUAUAUGUUUCUUGGACCGUAAUUAACUUGAGUUUGAACUUCUCCGGGUUCAACUUUAAGCUCAAGUAAAUUAGGUAUUAUUAGUUAACGCUUUAUGUGUUACUUUAUCUCUUUCAAAUAUUGUUGAUUUGAAUUUUUGAGUAAUAAGUAGUGACUGUUUUGUAUUUGUAUUGUUUUGCGAGGACUAAUGCUAUUGAUUUUGGUAUUUAACAUGAUCAAGCUCAAGUUACUUAGGUAUUAUUAGUUAAUGCCUUAUGUUGUAAUUUAUCUUUUUGAAAUUAUACUGAUUUAAAUUUGAAGUAAUGAGUAGUGACUAGUUUGCAUUUGUUUUUUUUUGCGAGGACUUAUGCUAUUGACUAAAGGACUCGAUUGGAUGUACCUCGUUAAUUGCGAUGCUUAUGCUCAGGUACUUUCAAUACAUAUUUCGACACCUUUAAAUAUUGAGGUACUAACAUUUGCUUUAAAUGUUGUAUGUGUAUCUUGGACCGUAAUUAACUGUGAGUUUUGAAUUUCCCGGUCACUUUAAGCUCAAGUAAAUUACGUAGUUUUUUACGCCUUAUGUUGUACUUUAUCUCUUUGAAAGAAUGUUGAUUGAAUUUUUGAGUAAUAAGUAGUGACCUGUUUUGGUUAUUUGUAUUGUUUUGCGAGGACUAAUACUUUUGACUUUGGUGUUUAACAUAUCAAAGCUCAGUUACUUAGUUAUAUUAGUUUAUCCUUAUGUUGUAAUUUGUCUUUUGAAAUUUCUGAUUUUAAUUUUAGUAAUUGAGUAGUGACUAUUUUGCAUUUGUUUUGUUUUGCGAGGAUUAUGCCUAUUGACUAAAGGACUCG
rnacentral:lncRNA from 1 species